rnacentral:rRNA from 1 species
GACAGAGGUGCCGAGCGUUAGGCGGAAUCACUGGGCUUAAAGCGUGUGUAGGCGGAUUCCUAAGUACCUUGUGAAAUCCCAUGGCUCAACCAUGGAACUGCUUGGUAUACUGGGUGUCUUGAGCCAACUAGGGGCUACCGGAACAAAUGGUGGAGCGGUGAAAUGCGUAGAUAUCAUUUGGAACGCCAAUGGUGAAAACAGGUAGCUGGGGUUGUGACUGACGCUGAGACACGAAAGCCAGGGAGCGAACGGG